ACAAUCCUCCUGCCUCUACCCCCGAGUAUGGAGAUCUGAGGCAUGAAUUACAUCACUCUUUAUUAGUCUGGUACUUAAACAGCUUUCUUACUGCAGCUCCUAUGGAAGAGACCUGGUCUUUCUUGGAAGUUCCCCAGAAUCUCAAAUAUAUUUAGAGUGUCUUUGGUUCUUUAGACAAUUUCUCUGAAUGACUUGGCCCUGAGUAGUCCCCAAGAUCUUUUCAAAGAAGACUGUAUGUCAUCUUCAAAUCUGGAUGUGAUGGUAAGGGAUGGACCAUGUCCAGAUUUUUAUAAAUCUGCUCAUCUUUGUCAUUUUUAUUUCAUGUUUCAUGGAGGGGAGUUGCCUGUAUGCAUGUUUGUGUACCACAAUGCAUGUAGAAGGUGUGUGUGUAUGUGUGUAUGUGUGUGUGUGUGUAAAGAAAAGAAAAGGGGUGGGGAAGGAGAGAGGAAAAAGCAGGAAAGAUAGAGGGAGAAGUGAAGGAAAGAAGGGAGGAAGGGAAGAGAGAGACUCUAUAGAGACACAUAUUCAAGGCUAAGGAGGAUGCUGGAUCCCCAUUGGAGUGGAGUUAUAGAUAGCUAUAAGCCAUCUAUAUGUGUUGUGUCCGGCCAGCAGAUCAUAGCCUGGGUUCUAGCCUGGAAAGGCAUUUUGGAAACCUGGAAGAGAAGAGGGGCUAGGCGACGAGAUAAAGAAAUGUAGCUAAGACAGGCAGAUUCUGAUCAAAGCUCGAUUUUACUGUUCCGCACGCAGUUAUGAAGCAGGGGAAGGGGGCCCGAUUCCCGCCAAUUAAUCUCGGAGUCCAGUAGCAGGGUGACCACGUGAUGGCUUCAGAACAGCAAAGCGGCGGGGCUCCAGCAGUGGGCGUGGCAGAACGUUUGAGCCGGCAAGCUCCAUCCAGGUAUUAACAGUGGAACCCUUAAGGCUGGGGGAGGGGAGGCUGCAUAUAUGCAUUAUGGUCCACAGACAUACACAUAAGUGCUGGCAAUUAAACCUAAGUCCCCUGGAAGAGUAGCCAGUAUUUAUAACCACUCAAUGCCUGCAAACCUGCUCAUCUUACUUGUCACUGAAACACAGCUGCUCAAUAACUAAUUAAAUCACUUUUUUUUCCUGAUAUAAGGUCUCACUGGUCUUGCUGUGUAGCCCCAGCUGGCUCAGAACUCAGAGCUCCUUCUGCCUCCCGAGUGCUGUGACUGAUGGGAAUACAACCAUGUCCAGCCCUGCUACGGUUUUUGUUUGCUUGUUUGAGUUCUGCCUUAGAACGUACAUAAUGUGGGUUCAUUGAAAGAAAUGUUACAAUGGGAUCAUGAUGCGAUUUGAAGUUAAACAAGGCAAGACUGAAAAUACAGGUCCUCGGUAGUAACAGCCAUAGUUCUCCCAUGUGCUCAGAGCUCAGGAUGGCUAGUGGCAAUCCUGUCAAUAUAGAUUGGUAGUGUUUCUGUCUCCACAAAGGCUCUACUAGUCACUUCUAGUGUGGUCUCUAAUUUAAAUAUUCUUCUGUUCUUUUAUGUAUUUGUGUUCUAGGGGGACAUGGUCUUAAAAAAUAAAAACUUCUUGGUUUUUGAAAAAAAAAUCCAACGUAUGUUUGUUGAACACAGACAUAAUGCCACUCUAAAUAAGAACAUUCCCGUCAAUGCCAGCACAUGUUUACUCCAAUGGGCUCAUGAGAUGACAUCAUCUAGUGACAUCACAGGCACUGUAGUCUGUAUUAAUAUACUCGACGUCUGCACAACAAUAAACCAGUUACUAUGUCUAUCAGAGUACACCCUGCCACGAAGUGACACGGGCCUGGAGUUCCUAUGUUUGUAAACAUAGCACCAUUGGGGGCACUAACUGAAACAUGCGCGCAAAAGUUGAUGUGUUUACGAUAUAGAAUUUGAUGGUUUUGGAGACAGGACCACACACUUGAGACACCAUCACAGCAAUACAUAUGUCCACUGCCUCCAAAGAUAUCUGUACUAUUGUAGUAUACAUGUAACACAACCUGCUAUCUUAAUGAACCUUUAAGUGAAUGGUGCCUUAUUAUACAUAGUCUGUAGUGUUAGAGAUGGAGAGAGACUCAGGGCCAUCAGCAUGUGACAAUAAGAUAAUCCAUGACUUUUUUUUUUUUUGGUCAUGGUUAUGAAGAAAGUUAUGACUUCAUUUUUCCUCUCUCCCUUCCUUCUCUUUUUCUUUCUCUCACUCUAUACCACUGGCUAGCCUUAAACUGAUGGUAAUCCUCCUGCCUCAGCCUUUCAGUGCUGUGAUUAAGGCAUGAUGCCCAGUACAUCUUCCUUUCUCGUCCCGUAUCACUAGAUCUGAUACCGAGUGGCUGAACAAGAGGGAAAGCUGGGAGAGACUUAGAGACUAGUCUGUUAGCUUAACACCAUUUAUUUUUUUCUGAGGAUAGAGUCCAAAAACUUGUGACUUGCCUCAGACCAUGAGGACCUUAAUGGCAGUUAUUGUGCCGGAAAACCACAAUUUCUUGUCUAAUAUAUGGCCUUAUCUUAGGACUUGCCCCUUCCAAGUUAAUAAGGUCUCAGUCCCAGCCAGCACCCUCUCAGAACAAAAUUUACAACUGAAGUUAGCACUGAAGAAUAAUUUAAAUUGAGAGUUAUUUUGAACUACAAGCCAAACUCUGAUAUAUGGAUUUUCUAAUUAGUCUUGGGGGAGAAGGGGGGGUGUCUAGGCUUGUCCGCCAUAACUCAUGACACUGUAUUGGAGCAGUCCACAUCUUUUGAAGAGGGGAUAUCCUCAAGGUCUCAGGCCAAGGAAUUCUAAAGAUAGACAAAGAUAGUUGCUACUCAGCUCAAGGGAACUAACAGCCGUCUUUCUACCAUGUGGAGGACUAGAAGACAACCAUUCUUUAUGUGUAACGAGCCACAGCAGCUUAACCACCUCUGCAAUUCAUCUGCCUGGUCAGAGCUGGGAUGUGGGAGAAUGUUUGCAAUGGCAGUUGUGGGACUGCCAGCUCCCGUAACAUGACAGAGUACAAACAUGUUCAUAGAAACUCUCCAGGGUUUCUGCAAUAGAUCAUUUCUAGCUUUAUUCAUUUCCUUUCCCACUGAUCACUUUGCUAAAGAGCUCAUGGUACUUGGAAGCACAUUGUGUGUGUGUGUGUGUGUGUGUGUGUGUGCGUGUGCGUGUGCGUGUGUGUGUGUGUGUGUGUGUGUGUGAGACAUGUGAGCCCUUCUGUUAAACAUUUACAUCUAUGGUGUAGUGAAUGGUCAACAGGGGGCUAAUGGUUAACACCAGCUGGGAGACUUAUCUCAUGUGUAACUCAAAAUCAACCUUUGGCAGACAGCCCCGAGCAGGAGUUUGGUGUCUCACAAUUUGAUUCAUUUGCUAGAUGUAAGUUGUCUGUGUGGGGAAAGAGAGGUGGGGGAAGGGAGGAAGGAAGGCCUUUGCUUUCGCACAGCCCAUUCUGCAGGUCCUGUGGGUGAACAUUCCGUAUAGUGCUCUGCCAGCUAUAGCGAAGCUUUAAGCAACAGUCGUAAACGUGUGACCUAGUUUAGGCAAGUUCUUUCUCAUUAUAGGUGUCCUUAGGGUAAGUGGAAAUGAGUGUCUUUAGGGUGAGCUUUCCCUUUCCCUUCAGAUGAAGAGAGUAUAAAACACCCAGAGUCAGAAUGUGUCUGGCAAUAGAGGAAAGGGAGCCAGGAUGAGAGGCCUCAGACUGUGCACACAGAGCAAGGCUGAUGGAGGAGGCUGUGCCGCUACUUCUUAGGAUCCCUAGUUACUAUUUACUGAGUGUAACAGUCACUGGACGCCCUCCCUCAGAGGAGUCCUCUAGAGAGAGAAUAGAGGAACCAGACUCGGAACAGUAGGAAGACAGGCUGGCUCUCGGCUGCUGAGAGCUUGUCUAUUCUCCAAGCUUUUCUCCCUUGUUUGGAACGUUAUUUAUUCCCAAGCAGUUCAUGCCUUACAUAUAAUUUUCAGACAUAUGGUACUGUAUAUUCUCCCAAGUUUUAGUUCAGUUCCCUACAGCCUCCCUGCACAGUGCGCUUCCUGUCUUCUACUUUAAUACGUUCACUAUUUCCUUAUUAUAAAUAAUAACCCCCCUUUGCAUUUCUUUUUUCCAGGUGAUUACACUGUUAAGAUUUUGCUGGAACGAAACAGAGUCUUUGAGUUUCUGUUCACUUCCCGAGUUUCCCCAGAAAGCCGAGUCCACCACGGAGGACUAGACAGAUGUCCCAGAGAUCUUCCUGCCAGGUUCCAGCUGCCACGUGACAUACAAAAGAUGACUCUGCUUUUCCCUCGGCUGGCUUUUAGCUGGCUUCCCAGGCAGUAGAUCCCUACCUGUGCUUUUCCAGCAGAGAAACAAACUGAUCAAGAUAACAAACAGUAUACAAAGCCCCGAUACGUUCCCGAGGCUGUGGGCUUUCCCUUGACAGAAGACAAAAUGGAGAAGCAGGGGAGAGGUAGGAGGCUCUUCAAGAAAGAGCUGUGAGAGGCUUCCACUUGGCCACCUGCAAAGGCUGGUGCUGUGACAUUCCUGUGGCUUAUCGCAUUGAUAGUUCUGUGUUGGAGCCUCAAUGGUUCCAGUGUCACCUGAGGAGGAGGGGCUCCUGCUGGGUCAUUUCCUGAGCCAGAAUCUUGCCUGGGAAUCCAGGGUGGUGGCAGACAUGUGAUAAUGUUCUAUUGAGAGGGAAUGCUGUAUCUUUUGGCUACUGAAGCCAUGAUGUAUGUAUUUUGGGCCUCUUUCCCUCACUACUGAGUGAAAGGGCAUCAUUCCCUUUGCUCUUUGGAAAAUGGUAUAGAAUGACAGAAUGUGGUUUGCUGUAGGUGUGUACAGGCAUGCAUGCGUGCAUUCUUCGUGCAGACGGACAAGAUGGACAAGACGGACCACUUCCAUUCACUCAGCCCUGCUUUAUCUAAAGCGAUGAAGCAACUUCAGGAGGAGGACCCAGGGCACUUGUCAGCAGCUUUAUGGUGGCUUGGUGGCUAUCCACUCUCUCUCGGGAAGAUUGCCAUCAGAGAAUCUUGACAUGCUCCAAAAAAACCAAAACAACAACAACAAAAAAAAAAACAUGCAACGGGGCCUCCUGACCUGGUUCAGAGGGUUUGCUGGUACUUUUCAAGUCGUACCAAGAAUCUCAAGGGAAAGCAUUCCUCUGUGGUUAGGUUGAGAAAGUCCAACUUUUCCCAUACAGCAAAUGAGAUGAUUAGUGUUAAUUAUCAUCGCAACAGCGCCUAGAAUAGCCUGGGAGGCAGGCCUCUGGGCACGUCUGUGAGGGGCUGUCUUGAUUACAUUAAUUGAGGUUGGAAAGCCUCUCUGUGGAUGGCGGCCCUAUUCCUUGGCUGGGAUUCUGGACUGCGAAUGGAGACAGGGGGCUAAUGCCAGCAUUCAUGCCUUUGUGUGUCCUGACUGUGGAUGCGAUGUGACCAGUUAUCCCAAGCUUCUGCUACUCUGACCUCCCUAUUACACUGGACCAAGCCUUCAGAUUGUAAGCCAGAAUAAACCCCACUGACGCCUUUGUGGAAUGUGUUAUGUCACACAUCCACAAGAAAGAAACUAUGACAAUAAUUAGAAUGGACAACAUGAGGAACAAGAAUAAGGAAAUGAGACCAUUGGCAAACUCCAGGCAGAAUCCCUUAGUUGGUCACCCCAAGGGCUUGCCUAAGACAUCCUCACCCAGGCGCCACCUAAGUUCAUGACCACCCUCACCCGAAACUGAGUUCUAGUCUUACCCCUUACUCCCCAACAGCACCCGAAACACCGGGCACUACUGAUUUCCCUCAGUUUCGGUUGCUUCACCAACAAAUGUGAAGAACACAAUUUCUGAUCAUUUUGCUGAGCUUGUUGGAACAUAGUAGAGGCGAUUCAGAAGCUGCAAGCACACUGGAAGUGCCGUAAACCAUAAAUGUGUUAUUUCUUUCCUCACCCUGGCAGCUACAGACAGUCAGAACCACACAGUUUUGCCUCUGUACUUUGGCGCAUUUUGGUAUUGAUACUUAGCAAAAUUUCUUAAAGAGAUAGGCAGCACUGUGCUUAUUAGUCACCAUGCAGAUAAUGGUUGUGAUUUACAGCUGUUGGAAUUGGAGUGUUUACCUGUUACUUUGAUUUAUCUUGGUGACCAGAUUAAAAAUUAUUUAUGGAUGUUUCUUAAAGGGUGUUUUCAGAGGAGAUUAGCAUUUGAAUAAGUAGACUUACAGUCUACCACCCAAUGCCUUAAGACUAGCACUUCAAUAAUUCACAGUCUACCACCCAAUGCCUUAAGACUAGCACUUCAAUAAUUCACAGUCUACCACCCAAUGCCUUAAGACUAGCACUUCAAUAAUUCAGUCGUCUACCAUCCAAUGCCUUUAGGGUAGAAAGAGAAUAAAAGGUGGAGGCAAAGCAAGUUUCCCUGGUUUUCAUCACACUUUUGGGGAUGGGUGCUGAGCCUAGAAUUUACUAAGUAGCUGAGACCAGUUUUGAACUUGUGAUCCUUCUGCCUCGCCCGGCUCCUCACAUCCUGAGAUUGCAGCUAUGUCCCACCACAUCCAGCUUCAUUGCUCACUCUGUGAAUUACUGUAUCCAACUUGCUUUCUCCCAUCCAGGGGAUGACAUUUACACUACUGGCCUCCCUGGUUCUCAGGCCCCCAGGCUGAGUCACAACUGCAACUUUUCUGUGCUCUCCCUUGCAGGUGCUACACACGCCACAGACCUCUCAGCCUUCCGUCACGUGGACCAGCUCCACACAGUCCGUCUAGACCAGAGAAGACCAGCAAGACUGCCUUCUACCUCGGUGCCCUAUGGGCUGCAGCCCCAGGACUGACCCUACUCCUUUUGCAUGAUCACCGGCUUUUGAAAUUCAGAUGGUGAACUUGGACUGACCCUGUAGCCCCCAUGGGACCCAAGUGGCCUGCAGCCUGAUUUUGCUGUGCACAGCAGAGAGAGGGUAAUUUGACAUCCUGCUCUUUUGUUUGGGGUCUGUGGGCUCUGGACAGCACUUACGUCUCAUCUGUGAAUGCUAUUCCAAAGUACUCCUUCUCCUUCAGGUUGAAAUGAGAGGCCACGAGGUCAAGAAGCUCCUUGGCCAAAAGCUUGGGCUGGAAGAAGAACACAGAAGGGAAGAUUAACUCACGAGAGACUUUUGCUAAGUCACGUCAUCAUCUUGGGUCUCUAGCAUGUUCUCAGUGAAAUGCCUGAGAACUCAGGCACACUGCAGAAACACAAAUGACUUUUGUAAAAUCCAAAGAGAGGCUUGGAUGUGGUUCAGUUGGAAGGAAGGUUCUUGCCUGGCACGCACAAAGCCCUGUGUUUAAUCAUCCAAGCAGCAUAAAACUGGUUGUCAUGGUGCAUGAGUACUUCAUGGGGUUCCACGAGAAAUAGAGGCAGGAGGAGCAGGAGUUCAUGAUUAUCUUCUGCUGCAUAGCAAGUUUGAGGCUAUCCUGGGCUACAUGAGGUACACAGAGAGAUGAAGCCAAGAGUGAGGGAGGAAGAGAGAGAAUAGAGAAGGAGAAAGACCAAAAGAAACAGACCAUUAGGAUGCUGCUGUAUAAAACAGCCAAGUGGGAAGUCUUGGCAGCAACUGGAGGCUCAGUAAGAUUGGUUCUGUCAACAAAUGACAUUUUUGCUCUUUAGUGGGUCUGUCCAGCCUGGUGUCUUUCCUUCCCUACCUUAUACUGCUCUGACAGGAAGAGUUCUUGGUCUAUUUAGCAAACACAGGCAGACCCCUUCCUAUUCUUGGAAUAAGGUUACUUUCUGAUCUACCCAGUGUAAUUGGAAAAUGUUAAGCCCAAAUUUAUUGAAUAUGAAUACCAGAGUUUAGCAACACAUGGCUACAGGUAUGAGCUCAAGGGUACCCUGAAUGCAGCCCAUGACAAAAUGGCAAACUUACUUAAGAUCAUGAGCUACAUUGAAAGGUUAAACACACCCUCCCCAGUGUGGCUGCUUCUGCCUGGUGAUCACAUUGGGCUCUGGCUCUUGGCAUCCUUAGAGAUUGUAGCACACAGCCUGACCCAGAGAAACCAUCCAGAUACAAAAUUCAAAGCACGAUUUUUACUGAACAAAGACUGCAUUUGUACUAUUGUCAAGUCUAACAUCCCUACACUGACCUGCCUGAUGGGUCAGGAGCUGUCCUCGCUGUGUGGUAGGCACUGUGCUAAGCACUUUUUACACAUUGUUUAACCUCAUAAUCCUGUGAGAUUGUCCAUUGUGCAGGGCAGACACAGGCCCAGGGAUCAGGCAGUUGUUUCUGCCUCCUCUUCUAUCAGUGAGCAGCAGCUCAGAAGUGAAAACCACUUAGAACCCCAUGGGGUUGAAGUGACAGUAACACUUCCUUCCCUGGAAAUGAGAGACCAAUGGGAAACCCUCUUACACACGUUCGGGACCGGCCAGGAAAGACGCAACAAACCGGAAUCUUCUGCGGCAAAGCUUUAUUGCUUACAUCUUCAGGAGCCAGAGAGCAAGAGAGCAAGAGCAAGAGCUCUAUUGCUUACAUCUUUAGGAGCCAGAGCGCAAUAGAGCAAGAGCAAGAGCAAGAGCAAGAAUGGCGAAACCCCGUCCCUUUUAAGGAGAAUUAUCCUCCGCCUAGGACGUGUCACUCCCUGAUUGGCUGCAGCCCAUCGGCCGAGUUGUCAUCACAGGGAAGGCAGAGCACAUGGGGUGGAGAACUACCCUUGGCACAUGCGCAGAUUAUUUGUUUACCACUUAGAACACAGGAUGUCAGCGCCAUCUUGCAACGGCGAAUGUGAGGGCGGCUCCCCACAAAACCCCACCUUGACACACCAACUGCAUCCAGUGCUCUCUGCUUCCUGGUGCAUGCUACAAUCUGAGUCUAAACCAAUAGAACACCCAAGAUUGGACGUCAAUUCUUUCUUCCUUGAUAGGAAGAAGUCUACACUGGGAUUGUGGAGGGAUGCAUGUGGCUCAUCUCAGAGUUUUACAAAUGAAUUAUGAAAGAUGCUGCAAGAUUUGAGUUCCCAAGCUUAAGAACGUGUUGUGGGAUGUGCUUGACUAUAAAUGCUGCCAUUCCUUCCAGAAGAUGUUGGGCUGAGUUAAUUUAUGGGUUGUGGUGACACAGCAAGUUCACUGCUUUUAUAACACAGUGGAUCAUCACUUAUCCAUCAGAAUGACUGCCAUAUCUUUCAAAGUGGCCACAGUGUAUCUGUGAUGCUUGCUGUUUCUGGAAGUAUUUUGAGCUGGGCACUGGGUUACACACCUGUAACCCCAACACUUAGGAGGCUACAGUAAGGAGGAAUGGGGGAUUCAAGGCUAGCUUGAGUUUCACAGCAAGAGCAUAUCUUUUUAAAAAAAAUUUUUAUUAGAUAUUUUCUUUAUUUACAUUUCAAAUGUUAUCCCCGUUCCUAGUUUCCCCUCCGAAAAUCCCCUAUCACCUCUCUACUUCCCUACUCCCCAACCCACCCACUCCCAUUCCUGGUCCUGGCAUUCCCCUAUACUGGGGCAUAGAGCCUUCACAGGACCAAGGGGCUCUCCUCCCAUUGAUGACCAACUAGGCCAUCCUCUGUUACAUGUAUAGCUAGUGCCACAAGUUCCACCAUGUGUUUUCUUUGAUUGGUGGUAUAGUUUCAAGGAGCUCGGGGAUACUGGUUAGUUCAUAUUGAUGUUCCUUCUAUGGGGCUUCAGACCCCUUCAUCUCCCUGGGUAUUUCUCUGGCUCCUUCAUUGGGGACCUUGUGCUCCAUCCAACGGAUGACUGUGAGCAUCCAUUUCUGUAUUUGCCAGGCACUGGCAAAGCCUCGCAAAAGACAGCUAUAUCAGGCUCCUGUUAGCAGGCUCUUGUUGGCAUCUGCCUAGUGAAUGGGUUUGGUGAUUGUUUAUGGGGUGGAUCCCCAAGUAGGGCAGUCUCUGGAUGAUCGUUCCUUCAGACUCUGCUCUGAACUUUGUCUCUGUAACUCCUUUCAUGGGAAUUUUGUCCCCCAUUCUAAGAAGAAACAAAGUAUCCACACUUUGGUCUUCAUCUUGAGUUUCAUGUGUUUUGCAAAUUGUAUCUUGGGUAUUCUAAGUUUCUGGACUUAUAUCCACUUAUCAGUGAGUGCAUAUCAUGUGUGUUCUUUUGUGAUUGGGUUACCUCACUCAGGAUAAAGGUAGACUAUCAGAAUUACACCAGACUUCUCACCAGAGACUAUGAAAGCCAGAAGAUCCUGGACAGAUGUUAUACAGACCCUAAGAUAACACAAAUGCCAUUCCAGGCUACUAUACCCAGCACAACUCUCAAUUACCAUAGAUGGAAAAACCAAAGUAUUCCAUGAAAAAACCAAAUUCACACAAUAUCUUUCCAUAAAUCCAGCCCUUCAAAGGAUAAUAAAGGGAAAACUCCAACACAAGGAGGGAAAUGUCACCCUAGAAAAAGCAAGAAAGUAAUUCUUCAACAAACCUAAAAAAAAGAUAGCUGCAAGAACAGAAUCCCAACUCUAACAACAAACAUAACAGGAAGUAACAAUUACUUUUCCUUAAUAUCUCUUAAUAUCAGUGGACCCAAUUCCCCAACAAAAAGACAUAGACUAACAGACUGACUACAUAAACAGUACCCAACAUUUUGCUGCAUACAGGAAACCCCCCUUAGGGACAAAGACAGACACUACCUCAGAGUAAAAGGCUGGAAAACAAUUUUCCAAGAGCAUAUCUUAAUAACAUUUUUUUUCUAUUUAGGAUUAUCUUUUUGACUUGCCCUGGGAACAUGUGUUAGAUUUAGCAUCCUUGCCAGCAAGACUCCUCCAGCACUCAGAAUGGAUUUGGAAUUUUGUAAAUGUUAAAAGUCAUUUCAAGUCUAAUGGGUGGGGGAAGAAAGUCACUUGAGGUCAAAUCUGAUGGGAUAGGAGUGGAAGAGGACUGGGAGUCUCACUGGGUCAAUCUGACAUUAGAAAAUGAGGUGUGACUAAGAAGUGCUUACUGUGAGUUCUUGUAAACUAUGGAGGGUAACCAACUCACUCGUGGAAAGGGACAGCUCUCUCUCUGGGAAUAAGAUUUCAAUGCUAUCCAGAUACCCUUGCUCAGUGUGGUGGUCUGAAUGAGAAAUGUUCCCCAUAGACACUUGUAUUUGAAUAUUGGGUCCUCAGCUGAUGGUACUAUUGGGGAAGGCUGUGGAACUUUUAGAAAGUGGAGUCUUGCUGGAGGCACAUAGCACUGACUUUAAGGUUUUAUAGCCAUUUCCUAGUCCCUCUCUUUGCUUCCUGUGUGUGAAUGAAAUGUGAUCUCUCUACUUCCUGACUGCCAGGCCAGCCUCAUGAUCCCUGCUGCUAUGCCUUUACCACCAAGAUGGACUGUACCCCUUGGAACUGUAAGUCCAAAUAAACUCUUCUCUAAUUUUU